AUGAUCGGCAGUGAAUCCAAUUCUGGACCAGCUACAUAUCACGCUAGACUAAUUAUUACCUCUGACACUCUCCCUGCUUUUAGUUUGCGACAUGCCAACGUGCUUCUAGAAGGCGAGGCAGUGGAGUGCUUCAACGUCUUCCAAAAGGAAAAGUGCUCACUGGUGACUGGAGUGCUUCAGCAGAAUAGAUGGCCGAAUCUUGAAUCUCAUGUCAUGUUGUGUGAGCCUGCUUGGGCGAUUUUUCCGCAGGAAAGACGAGCUUUCCUAGGCGAUGCACAUGCCCUGCCUUUGCUUGGCGAGUGGUGA
rnacentral:rRNA from 1 species